UACGUAGGGUGCAAGCGUUGUCCGGAAUUAUUGGGCGUAAAGAGCUCGUAGGCGGUUCGUCGCGUCGGCUGUGAAAAACCUGAGGCUCAACCUCAGGCCUGCAGUCGAUACGGGCGGACUUGAGUACUGCAGGGGAGACUGGAAUUCCUGGUGUAGCGGUGAAAUGCGCAGAUAUCAGGAGGAACACCGGUGGCGAAGGCGGGGUCUCUGGGGCAGUAACUGACGCUGAGGAGCGAAAGCGUGGGGAGCGAACAGGAUUAGAU
rnacentral:rRNA from 1 species